UAAGCUACAGUUGAGGGGUCACAUAGAACUAACCUCCAAAAUAGAAAGAGACUGAACAUUCUUUAUGAUUGGUACAACUAGACCAUAUGGAGUAGCCAUGGCAAUUCCGAUAUUGUGGGAACCUGUAACAAUUUCCAUUUAGUUAAAGUAAAAAACCCACUUCAAGUACGAUAAAAUUAAUACUAGCAAGUUUUCCAUCACGCGCAUAAAAGGCUAAGCUAAAGUAGAAACAUUGCUGCAGCCAACAGAUGAUAAUUGCUAUGGAUUGUACAAAGUACAAACCUUUGAGGGUGACCUCGAGUGACUCUUCAUUGAAGCUACUAUUCAUCAGGGGAUAUUUGUUCAUGGCCAUUGAGAGAGUCUUCAUCAAUAAUGGAAGGAAAGUGUGCUUGAC
rnacentral:lncRNA from 1 species